AUUUCAGGUGAAGCUUGAGCUUCCUACUCAACUCCAUAAGAAGCACCACAUUCUCUUUUCAUUUUAUCACGUCACCUGCGACAUAAAUGCGAAAGCUAAUGCCAAAAAGAAAGAGGCCCUGGAAACAUCAGUGGGAUAUGCUUGGCUCCCUUUAUUGAAAGAUGACCAGCUAGUGUCUCAAGAACACAGCAUACCAGUGGCAACCAGCCUGCCUCCCGGUUAUCUGAGCCUUCAGGAUCCUGCAGCUGGAAAGCACAGCGGAAGUGACGUGAAGUGGGUAGAUGGAGGGAAGCCACUCUUCAAAGUGUCUUCGUUGGUUGUAUCGACAGUUUAUACUCAGGAUCCAUAUCUGAAUAGAUUUUUCCAGCAGUGCCAAAAAAGGAACAGGGAUCUCUCCCAACCACCUACCUCAAACUUUAUCAUCUCCUGUAAG